AAACUAAAUUCUCAGAAACAUCUCUUCUAUCAUUAUCUAACUAUUUAAUUCUAUUCAUCUCUUUCUAUUUCCAAAAUCAAAACCACCUUUUAUUUUUUAUUUCCUGACUAUCCACCUUUUAUUUUCUUAAAUAACCAAAUAGAUGUGUUAAAGCAUUCUUCUUCUUCUUUUUUCCCAGUAAGCUUAAAUCUUCUUCUUAAAAAAAAAAUAAAAAUGGUGAGAGGCCCAACCCUUGCUUUUUAUAAGAGCUUCUUUCUGCUACUUAAUUAAUUAACAAUCUAAGUUCGCUACUUAACUAAUUAACAUCCCUUAUAAAUGUAAUUCGCUCCUUUUAUUUGUCUCAUUUGCAUGCAACAUUCUCUCUCUGUCUCUCUGUCUCUCUGCUAGGGUUUCAGUCCUUCAACUGCUCUCUCUAUGCUUAUGCUAGGGUUUGAGUCCUUCAACUGCUGCCAACACCAUUAGUUCAGAAAAGUGAUUAUCAACACUCAAAAUAUCCAUUAUUUUACUAUGGAAUUUGAAGAAAAUCCAGCUUCCAACUCUGAACGCGAAAAAUGUCGAGUACGUCUCUGUGCUUCAAUUUCCGCGCUCCUCUGUGUAACUUGUGAAGAGUUUGCUUUUCGUGGUUAUGGAAAAAACAAGGAAGAAAUAUUCCGAAAUCUUUUUGAUUCAUUAGUUAAUGAUGAAUUUGAAGGGUUGGAAAAUGACUCGUAUCUUUCCAACUGUACUUCAUCUCAAUUUCGAAAAGAUGCUCUGCAAGUUAUUUCUAUGAAAGUGAAAAACCAUAUCCGUGAUGAAAUUGGUGAUUCCAAAUUUUGCAUAGUUGUUGAUGGAGUUUGUGAUCAACCAGGAAAGGAACAAAUGGCUCUUAUUCUCAGAUUUGUUGAUAAAAAGGGGUUUAUACAAGAGCGGCUUUUCGAUGUUGUGCAUGUUGAAGAGAAUAAGUUUGAGUCAUUAGCUCUUAAGGAAGAAGUUUGUGCUAUACUUUCUCGACAUAAUCUUGAUGUUUCUAACAUUCGUGGUCAAGGGUAUGAUGGUGGUUCUCUAAUAAGAGGACAAUGGAAUGGUUUACAGGCACUAUUUUUGAAUGAAUGUCCUUAUGCAUACCACAUUCAUUGUUUUGCACAUAAGUUGGAACUUGCCUUGGUUCGUGCAUCGUCAGAAGUUAUUCCAAUUUACCAUUUCUUUUCAAAAUUGACUUCUAUUGUCAAAUUUUUCUGCUCUUGUAGGAAGCCUCGUGAUGAGUUACUAGCUGCCCAGUUAGAUAAAAUUGCACAUUUGCUAGAGAUCGAAGAGCUUGGAACCCGCAAAGGGCAAAAUCAAAAUUCUACUUUGCAGCAAGUGGGCGAUACUCGUUCGAGGUCACAUUUUUCUUCUAUUGGUAACUUGAUAAAUAUGUAUGAUGCAACUUGUACUCUUUUAGAAAAACUUUCUGAGGAUGGGUCAACUUAUCGUCAAAGUAAGGAUGCUUCUAUUGCUUACCAAAACAUGACUACAUUUGAGUUUGUAUUGAUCUCGCAUUUGAUGAGAAAUGUUUUGAGGAUAACUGAUAGUUUUUGCCAAGCUUUACAGCAACAACAUCCAAAUGUAGUUAAUGUCAAGCAUAUAGUUCGUUCUACAAAAGUACUGCUCCAAAACAUGAAACAAGAUGGUUGGGAAAAGUUGCUAAAAAAUGUGAUAUCAUUUUGUGAAAAAAAUGAUAUUAAGGUUCCUCAAUUCAAUGCUCCAUAUUUAGCAAGACCUUGGCGUCGGGAAAACGUGGAUGGCAUCACAAUCACAAUAGAGCAUUAUUAUAGGACAGAAGUAUUUUUGGUUGUCAUUGACAAACAAAUACAAGAGCUGAAUAGCAGGUUUAGCGAUCAAGCAAUGGAGUUGUUAACUUUUAGCUCUGCUUUGGUUCCUAAGGAUACUUACAAAGCUUUUAACAUUGAUCAUAUUUGCACUCUUGUAGAAAAAUAUUAUCCUAUGGAUUUCAAUGAGCAGGAGAAGAUUAAUUUAAAAUGUCAACUUCAACAUUUCAUUAUUGAUGCUCGUCAAGAUUCAAAUUUGAGGAAUUUAUCAACUAUCCAAGAAUUGUGUACAUGUUUGGCAGAAACAAAAAAGUUAGAAGUUUACUGUUUGAUUGACAGAUUAGUGCGCCUUAUCAUGACUCUUCCGGUUUAUACUGCUACAACAGAAAGAUCUUCCUCAGCAAUGAAAAAUUUCAAGACUAGGUUGAGAAACAUGAAGGAAGAUGAGUUUCUAGCAGAUGAGUUUCUAGUUUACAUCGAAAAGGAUAUUGCUCAAGGGUUUAUUAUUAAUUCAAUUGCUGCUGAUUUCGAGUCAUUCAUAGAGCGCAAUGACUCACAACCGGGUAGCUCAGUAAAUGAUUGCUUAGUCAGGCCAUCAGCAGAGUUGCCCGGCGAAAAAGAAUCUGAUGGAUCACCUCUGCUUCAAGUUGCUGAAGAUAUGGUUGAGGAUGACAUCUCAUCUAGAAGAGCUGCAGAUUUCAGUGUCACAAACUUGGGCGUGGAAGCAACUAGUGAUGCAACAGCCCACAUUUCUGUCAGCAAGUAGAUUCAUGUACUUAUGUAUAAACGGACAGAUUGAUCUGAAUUUCAAAUCAAUCCUAGUAAAUACAAGUUCACGGUUUUGUCCUUUCUAGAUGCUUUUGAGGAUUCUGUUUCCAAGUCUGAGGAAUCCGGACAGGAUGAUCAGGAUUUAAGAUCUUAACCUUGUAACCAUCAUGACUUAUUGACCAUAUGAAUGAAUCUUAGUAGUAUGCUGUAGUGACAUUAAUGAAAUCUCAAUAGAGGUGUACCUAUUUGACAUUAUACCAUCUGAAUGGGUAAACUCGACCAUUGGGGAUGCUUACGAUGCAUGCUUAUGUCUUGGUAUUUUCGACGCAUGAUUAAUCAUUGUGAUAUGUUAAAAUAUCAA